UAGAUUAACGUGUUAGUAAUCCAAUUGUAGGCGGUUCGUGUGUGGAUCUCGUCAGCAUAUCGUCGCAAAUAGGAAAUCCCCAACCAUAGUGGGAUUGGAGCUGUGAGGGAAUUCGGAGUGGCCACCCGUUCUGAAAGUUUGAUUUUCUUCUAGUGAACUGGACAUCCUUUUAUUUACGUUUGAAGUUUUGGGUUUUUAAAUGUAAUAAGGCCGCUUAUUUAUUUUUGAUGGUUUUUAUAUGUUUUAUUAAGAUAGAUAAUAUUUAUUUUAACUGUUGAAAUUGGAUAGCUUUAGGGCGCGUUUUCAAAAACAACAGUUGAUUUCAAAAUAACACGACAACAAGCAAAGCUUCCGCAAUGAAAGUAUUUUCCAAAA